rnacentral:pre_miRNA from 1 species
CAAGUACUCCCUCCGUCCGGAAUUACUUGUCAUCAAAAUGGAUGUGUCUAGAACUAAAAUACAUAUAAAUACAUCCAUUUCAAUGACAAGUAUUUUCGGACGGAGGGAGUACAAG